GAAACAAAGAUAAUUGAAUAAGCUUCUAACUUAAAUCAAAAGCAGUGAAACUCUGUUUAUGUUUCU
rnacentral:tRNA from 1 species